rnacentral:lncRNA from 1 species
AAUUAUUUUGGUGUUGAAUGUUGUUGAGACUUUUUUUGGAUCUGGAAACUUUGAAUGUUCUUGAUGAUUUCUUGCUUUGAUCCGAAAAUGUGAGAAAGAAGAGGAAAUUAGGGUUUGUAUUGAUUGAGGGACUGAUUUGACUCUGACGCAGCUACAGUGAUUUUUCUGACCCUCUUCCCAAUGAUUAGACAGUGUAUUUAUAGUGACAAAAUAGGGUUGGCUCUGGUACAUAUCAAAGACCAAAAUACCCCUGUUGGAGACUUGGGGACAAAGACUUAACAAAUAACAAAUAAAAAUAAUAAGAAAAAGAAAAGAAAGAAGAAAAAGAAGAAAAAAAAGAGGAAAGAAGAAAGAAAGUCAC